rnacentral:sRNA from 1 species
UCUUUGUGACUUGCAAAGACGCUGUGGCCACAGGAACAGACAAAAACACUUUAUAAGUGUGCCUACCUCUACAGAGACAUGAGAGGACCUGACUGAAAUGUUAGCAGCUUUUGGCGAGUUCAGGGUUCUUCCGCUUAGACACCAACUUUGACGGCUCUUCCCUGAUUGGUCCUAUUUUUUUACCUUAUUUGCAUGUAUCUUUCAGCCAAUCAGGAUGCAACUGGAAAUCUGUCAUUCAGAUGCCCAGGGCUGCAAAGCCAACUGCUACAAGAUCUGAUAAAGGAGGAAAAGAAGGAAGGCUACCUUCAGGAUUCAGAGGGGAAAGAGUCAGGGGAGACUCAAUGCCCCUGAAGCAUCUCCCAUCAGGAGAGCUGGCUGAAGCAGCCUCUAGGACUUGGUUUUUCCAGAAGCUUGUGAGACCUGCCUUCUUUCCUGUUGACACCCACCAGAGGGGCCCUGAAUGAGGCAGUGGUGUCAUAGUUGGGUUAUCGUGACAUCUCGUUUGCAGGGAAGGUGGAAGGGAACAGGUUUUGAGUUAUGGUGGCAAGUACGUGCAGCACCUGUGGUCCGUGAGAGUCUUCUGUGUACUGCCCACUGGGUAUCCUCAUCCUCAGCAGAGUCCAUCUGGGCCCCAGGCAGACUCCUCGUUCUCACCUCGGGUCACACGUCCCAUAGAGAAGAUGAAUAUUAACGGUUCUAUUCAAGCACUCUGCUGGAGCAAGAAUCUGGGGUAAUUUAGAUGCAGAAAUAGAAGGAGAUUGUUUCCCUCCCCCCAGUAAAACAAGGAUCCUUUCUGGAUGUUGGUACUAUGCACAACAAUUAUUUCUUUAGAAAUAUUCAUGAGCACAACCCAAGCCAUUAGGAUGUCUGCAGGCCAGUAGGAGGGUUGUUUUAUUUAUUUUUUUUUAAACUUGAACUUCUAAUGGACGUUUGGGGGGAAAUCGGUGAGUAGUGAAAUACUGAAAUGCUCUAAACUACUUUUCUACUGGGAAAUAAAUGGCAGUCUAAAGGGCUGGAUAAAUCACUGUGGCUAAUACAAUUCCCUGGUGCUGCCUCUCAUGAGUCCGUGCCAAGAAGAUUGGGUUUGUAUAGAUUUAUACAAACAAGGUCAGUCUAUAGAAAGGGGAGCUGUUUAGCCAGCAUUUGGGCAACAUAAAUGCAGACUAUUCAUUAUAGAGCCACGCCUGCUGUAGUUUCCCAUGAGAUGAGAGAAUGGAUAGCCCACGUACACAGCAGUAUUUAUUGCCGCUGAUAGAGAGCACUGCAGGACUCAACCCUGGGCCCUGACGCAACAGCCCGUGCAUCAGACAUUGUUGAGCAUUGGCUUUGUCUCUUAUCAAAAGGUACACCAUCGCUCAGCCUACCCUGUGAUCUGCCGGGUGCACUAACUCUGCUCUCCCGUUUGUCUCGCUCGCUAUUGCUUGCCCUGUUCUCCGCAGGUGAGUGCCUCUUCUAGAGACUCAUGGCAGACAUCAAUGAUACUUUCCCGUGUGCCCUGACACCACACUCCCAUAAUCCUGCUCCUGCUGAGCUGAUGGGCAGACAAAAGUCUCCCAUGCCUGUUCCCUUGAAGAGACAUUUCCUGACACGUUUCUAGUUGGAAUUUCCCGAGUUGAAUCCCAGCUCCCUGGUUUGCCAUCUUUUGUCUUGUGGCCUAGAACUAACUCUUUCUUGAUUCUUUAGCCAUGGGUGCUGCUAGUCCUCUCCACUUCUCUACAUUACUAUGAAGAUGUACAUAGGCCAAUAAGAAUUUGUUCUAAGCCGAAAUCACACUGAGUUUUGAAUGGUCUUGUUGGAUUAAGGGGAAUUAUUGCCUAUUUUUCUGUUUCAUUUUCCUGCAAGUUAGAAAAGUUAUUCCUAAGAAAAGUAUGUAGCGGGAUAUAUAUAUCUUUGCCAAACUCCCACAAUAAGUUCUGUAGUAAGAAAGCCUUUCCAACUGUAAGCAUAAGCAUGUAGAGACUCAGAACUAUGACAUCAUAAAAAUCACAAUGAAAAAGCAAUCUGUAGAUGCAGAUGAUCACAUUCACAGGUAAA